AACGAACGCUGGCGGCGCGCCUAAUACAUGCAAGUCGAGCGAGAAGACGUAGCAAUACGUUUGUAAAGCGGCGAACGGGUGAGGAAUACAUGGGUAACCUACCCUCGAGUGGGGAAUAACUAGCCGAAAGGUUAGCUAAUACCGCGUACGCUCCUUGGACUUCGGUUCAGGGAGGAAAGCGAUACCGUGGGUAUCGCGCUCUUGGAUGGGCUCAUGUCCUAUCAGCUUGUUGGUGAGGAACGGCUCACCAAGGCUUCGACGGGUAGCUGGUCUGAGAGGACGAUCAGCCACACUGGCACUGCGACACGGGCCAGACUCCUACGGGAGGCAGCAGUAAGGAAUAUUGGACAAUGGGGGCAACCCUGAUCCAGCGACGCCGCGUGUGUGAAGAAGGCCUGCGGGUUGUAAAGCACUUUUAGUGGGG
rnacentral:rRNA from 1 species